ACGAACGCUGGCGGCAUGCCUAACACCUGCAAGUCGAACGAGACCUUCGGGUCUAGUGGCGCACGGGUGCGUAACGCGUGGGAACCUGCCCUUAGGUUCGGAAUAACUCCCCGAAAGGGGUGCUAAUACCGGAUAAUGUCUUCGGACCAAAGAUUUAUCGCCUUUGGAUGGGCCCGCGUUGGAUUAGCUAGUUGGUAGGGUAAAAGCCUACCAAGGCGACGAUCCAUAGCUGGUCUGAGAGGAUGAUCAGCCACACUGGGACUGAGACACGGCCCAGACUCCUACGGGAGGCAGCAGUGGGGAAUAUUGGACAAUGGGCGAAAGCCUGAUCCAGCAAUGCCGCGUGAGUGAUGAGGGCCUUAGGGUUGUAAAGCUCUUUUACCCGGGAUGAUAAUGACAGUACCGGGAGAAUAAGCUCCGGCUAACUCCGUG
rnacentral:rRNA from 1 species